rnacentral:rRNA from 1 species
AGAGUUUGAUCCUGGCUCAGGAUGAACGCUAGCUACAGGCUUAACACAUGCAAGUCGAGGGGAAACGACAUCGAAAGCUUGCUUUUGAUGGGCGUCGACCGGCGCACGGGUGAGUAACGCGUAUCCAACCUGCCCACCACUUGGGGAUAACCUUGCGAAAGUAAGACUAAUACCCAAUGACGUCUCUAGAAGACAUCUGAAGGAGAUUAAAGAUUUAUCGGUGAUGGAUGGGGAUGCGUCUGAUUAGCUUGUUGGGCGGGGUAACGGCCACCAAGGCGACGAUCAGUAGGGGUUCUGGAGAGGAAGGUCCCCCANAUUGGAACUGAGCACGGUCCAAACGUCCUACGGGAGCA